CCCCUACGGGACGCAGCAGUGAGGAAUAUUGGUCAAUGGACGAGAGUCUGAACCAGCCAAGUCGCGUGAAGGAUGACUGCCCUAUGGGUUGUAAACUUCUUUUAUAUGGGAAUAAAGUGAGCCACGUGUGGCUUUUUGUAUGUACCAUACGAAUAAGGAUCGGCUAACUCCGUGCCAGCAGCCGCGGUAAUACGGAGGAUGCGAGCGUUAUCCGGAUUUAUUGGGUUUAAAGGGUGCGCAGGCGGACCAUCAAGUCAGCGGUAAAAUCGUGGGGCCCAACCCCAUCCCGCCGUUGAAA
rnacentral:rRNA from 1 species